GACGUAAACCUUUAUUGUAUUAAGCCACUGAGCAUUGGAGGUUGUUUCUAUGGCAGCAGAGCCUAGCCUACUCUGACUACUUUGAGGACUUUGUCCAUGAAUGUGUUCCUGUUCACUCUAGAAUUUUAACUGACAGCCCGGUAGAGAGAAGCAUUGUGAUGAUAAUGAUGACGAUGAUGAUAUCACUGAGUGCUGGAAAAGGUUUCUGCCACUACCUUCCUAGACUCAUCUAAGUGGAUGGACUCCAGGGGAUGGAGAAUGGAAGGCAGCAGAUGUUUGUUGACUUCUUGCUCUAUAUCGGGCACUGUGCUAGAUACCAUACACGCCAUCAACAUUUAGGACAGUAUGACAAAGGAGAAUGAAAGCUGUCUCUUGUAGAUAGGAUAUUUUCAGCCGUCAUCACCAUGGACUCUUUGAAAUGUACUACUUCAGAAAAGCCACAGUGACUCCCUCUGGGCCUCACCCACCUGAGAUGACAUCACGACGCAAAUCUAGGACUUACGCUCUUCAUACGGAUGGAAUGGAUCUAAUUUUAGCAACAUGAUGAAUGGCCCAGGAAUGUAUUCCACUGCCCUCUGCAGAAAGGAAUAUAUAUCAGACCUGCUCAGGUGUGUGUCAUUUCUUUAUACUGGGAGCUUUCAGCAGCCCAAGUGGCAGCUGGGUUUUUCUGACUGAAAGCCGCAAGUUCUGUCUCUAUUUGGGCUCGGGCAGACACCACUAGGAAACGGCCAUGUGUGAACAAUACCUAGAUUUGCUAGCUCAGCCAAUGAGGCUUAUGGUUCUCCUAUGCCCGGGUUUAUUGCACCAGCUGGAAAAUGACCAAUUGUUUUUUAUCUUCAUUGACGUGCAAGAUCUGUUUGUGUAGGAUCACAUUCAAGUCCCCCCUGCCUUCUUCCAUUUCUAAAAAUUUGAUCUUUAAACAAAGAUAUUUCUUUAAAAUGUGGGAGUCAGGCUGGGCGUUGUGGCUCGCACCUGUAAUCCCAGCACUUUCGGAGGCUG
rnacentral:lncRNA from 1 species